GCCGGGUGCGGUGGCACACGCCUGUAGUCCUAGCCACUCGGAAGGCUGAGGCAGGAGGAUCGCUUGAGUCCAGGAGUUCUGGGCUGCAGUGCCCUAUGCCAAUCGGGUGUCCGCACUAUGUUCGGCAUCAAUAUGGUGACCUCCUGGGAGCGGGGCACCACCAGGUUGCCUAAGGACGGGUGAACCGGCCCAGGUCGGAAAAUAGUGACAUAAAUUCACAUGUUACUUGGGCUAUGACCAUACAGCAGAGAUUCAUAGUUAUUGAACUGUUUAUCUGGGACCCAGAAUUUGGUACAAACUUGGU
rnacentral:sRNA from 1 species